rnacentral:rRNA from 1 species
GACGAACGCUGGCGGCGUGCUUAACACAUGCAAGUCGAACGGAAAGGCCCUGCUUUUUUGCGGUGCUCGAGUGGCGAACGGGUGAGUAACACGUGAGUAACCUGCCCUUCACUUUGGGAUAACUUCAGGAAACUGGGGCUAAUACCGGAUAGGAGCUCCUGCUGCAUGGUGGGGGUUGGAAAGUUUCGGCGGUUGGGGAUGGACUCGCGGCUUAUCAGCUUGUUGGUGGGGUAGUGGCUUAUCAAGGCUUUGACGGGUAGCCGGCCUGAGAGGGUGACCGGCCACAUUGGGACUGAGAUACGGCACAGACUAGUACGGGAGGCAGGAGGGGGGAAUAUUGCACAAUGGGAGGAAGCCUGAUGCAGAAACGCAGCGUGCGGGAUGACGGCCUGCGGGUUGUAAACCGCAGUCGCCUGUGACGAAGCGGUAGUGACGGUAACGGGUAAAGAAGCACCGGCUAACUACGUG